UACAGAGGGGGCAAGCGUUAUUCGGAAUUAUUGGGCGUAAAGGGCGCGUAGGCGGCAUCGCAAGUGGAAGGUGAAAUCCCUCGGCUUAACCGAGGAACUGCCGUCCAAACUGCUUCGCUUGAGACCGGGAGAGGUGAGUGGAAUUCCCAGUGUAGCGGUGAAAUGCGUAGAUAUUGGGAGGAACACCAGUGGCGAAGGCGGCUCACUGGACCGGUACUGACGCUGAUGCGCGAAAGCGUGGGGAGCAAACGGG
rnacentral:rRNA from 1 species